rnacentral:rRNA from 1 species
UGCCAGCAGCCGCGGUAAUACGAAGGGUGCUAGCGUUGUUCGGAAUUACUGGGCGUAAAGAGUACGUAGGCGGCAUAACAAGUGUCAGGUGAAAUCCCACGGCUCACCCGUGGAACUGCCUGGCAAACUGUUAAGCUAGAGUGUGGUAGGGGAGAACAGAACUCAUGGUGGAGCGGUGAAAUGCGUAGAUAUCAUGAGGAAUACCGGUGGCGAAGGCGGUUCUCUGGUCCACAACUGACGCUGAGGUACGAAAGCUAGGGUAGCGAACGGGAUUAGAUA